GUUUGUUGUAAAUGGCGGCGUUAACGUGAGCGUCCUAAGGUAGCGCGAUAAUUUGCUUUUUAAUUGAAGGAUGGUAUGAAAGGGUUAACGAAGAAGAUGCUGUAUCUAAAAAUUUAAUUUAAACUAAUUUUAAGGUGAAGAGGCCUUUAUGUGAAAGAAGGACGACAAGACCCUAUGAAGCUUUAUCUUAAUUGAAGGUCUUAGCCUUUUAUACGUUUUUGAUGGGAGAUCAGCAAAAAUAAGUCUUUUGCUAUAACAUUAAUCUUACUAGAAUUUACUAGUUUUAUAUGUGUGACUAGCUACUCUAGGGAUAACAGCGCAAUUUCCCCCGAAAGAUGGUAUUGGAGGGGAAGAUUGCGACCUCGAUGUUGGCUUUAGGUGUCCUAGA
rnacentral:rRNA from 1 species